GACGAACGCUGGCGGCGUGCUUAACACAUGCAAGUCGAACGGAAAGGCCCUGCUUUUGUGGGGUGCUCGAGUGGCGAACGGGUGAGUAACACGUGAGUAACCUGCCCUUGACUUUGGGAUAACUUCAGGAAACUGGGGCUAAUACCGGAUAGGAGCUCCUGCUGCAUGGUGGGGGUUGGAAAGUUUCGGCGGUUGGGGAUGGACUCGCGGCUUAUCAGCUUGUUGGUGGGGUAGUGGCUUACCAAGGCUUUGACGGGUAGCCGGCCUGAGAGGGUAACCGGCCACAUUGGGCCUGAGAUACGGCCCAGACUCCUACGGGAGGCAGCGGUGGGGAAUAUUGCACAAUGGGCGGGAGCCUGAUGCAGCCACGCCGCGUGCGGGAUGACGGCCUUCGGGUUGUAAACCGCUUUCGCCUGUGACGAGGCGUGAGUGACGGUAAUGGGUAAAGAAGCACCGGCUAACUACGUG
rnacentral:rRNA from 1 species